CAGAGUUAAAGAGAGUUAAUUUUUCAGUGAUAAAAAUGUCAGUGUUGAUUAGAGUUGAUUCUGGAGUUGAUUUGCCAAACAUGUACACUUGGAGUGUAAAAGUAACUCUGGUACGAGUGUUACAAUCGCGUGUUAAUAAAAUAUACUCUGGUGUAGAGUUGUUUACUUCAUCCGGGGUAUUGAUGAAGCUUGCGAGGAGAAAGACAGAUGGACGCCAUUACAUUUUCCAAUAUCGCGGGGAAAGAACACACAAUGUUCCUAAAAGAAGAGCAUUGAACUGCAGCCUCCUCCAUGCACUUUUGAGUUUGUCAUGGAAGAAGGUCAGAUUUCUUUUUUUCAAAGGAUCAACGGAUUUGAAGUUAUUUGAGGAAUCUGACACAGCUAUUGGUGAGGACGUUUUCCAAUACCUCAUCACAGAUAACCUACACAUCUGCCUGGUGGCAAAACCUUUUGAUGACAACGUGUUUCCCUGGAGUCCCACCCAGCCCGCUGAAGCAGCCUUCCCAGCCCAGCCUUCCCAGCCCAGGCUUCCCUUCCCAGGCUCAUCAGUCCGAUGGUGCAGAGAUGGCUAAAAGGCCAAAGGAGGAUUCCGGUUGUUCUGGAGAACAGUGCAGGAGGACAGGAAAUAAUGGAGGAGUAUAGGAGAUCCAGCACCUGCACUCAUGGCACGGUACGUUGUAAGAGAAGAGUAAUAGUCUUUGGCAGUUAUAGGACUGAUAUUUAGACACGGACUUACUAGUUCAGCACUAAUUUUGUCAAUCUCCAACAUGCACACCAACAUUAAAACCUUUUAAUUGCAGUUAUUACCUUAGCUACUCCAGUUCAUAGCACUUUUUAAAAUAUAUAUAUUUUUAGGGGCUUUUAUGCCUUUACUUGAUAGGACAGUCUGAGAUGGUGACAGGAAGCGAGUGGGACAGAGAGACGGGGUGCGAACAGGAAAUUAUCCCGGGCGGUCUCGAACUGGGGUCCCCGUCGGCUUGCAAGCCCAAAAGUGGGGGGCUUAGCGCGCUGCACCGCAGCGCCCCCUCACAGUACUUUUUCAGUACCCUCACUCUUCUGUGCGAUUGCAUUGCAUUACAUUUAGGUGACUCUUUUAUCCAAAGCGACUUAGUUAUUUAUAGGGUAUUGGCUACAGUCCCUGGAGCAAAGUGGGGUAAGUUGUCUUACUCGAGGGCUUUAUGGAAUGGGAAGACUAGGAUAAGAACCUGCAACCAUCUGUUCUUGAGAUCACCCUAAUCAUUAAGCCAUUAUAGAUGACUUUUCCCACUGCACAGUUAAACUGCACAUUGGAAUAUUUGCUUUCAAAACUAAGUAAAGAGAACUUUUGCAGAGAUUAUGAGAAUCUUAACACUUGUAAGGUGUUCGUGUUUUUGUUACAUAGAAGAUGCCCGGGUCAUUUUGACCCGGGCAUAUAGAAAAAUAAUUUUAAAAGGAAAAUAAUCAUAGCUCAUGUUCCGUUCCGAAUUUCUGUGUAUAUACACUAUGUUUUUGAGUGAGAGAGCUACAGAGAGAGAAAGAUAAGGUAAGAAAGUUAGUAAACUCAAUCCAAGCUCUCCCAUUGAACCACCAGUGCUCUUAUUGCAACUGAAGGACCAGAAAAUAUCUGCACUCCUUUUCCCCCAUAAUUCACCCUUUGCCAUUUUAGAAAAUGUGUAAACCUCCCAAAGUGAUACGGGUGAAAAUGAUCCGGGGACACCUCCUGUGUAAUAGAAAUGUGCAGGGGGGUGGUUAAGCAAGAGGGGCUCACAAAUGUUUUUCAGAUUCAUGUUCCUCACUGAAAAUGAGCUAAAGACAGUGAAUCUCAAUGUGAAAGAAUAAUAACUGAUACUAUUUUUCUUUUUUUCAAGCUAAACACUGAAAACGGGUCAAAAUGGGGUCAAAAACCUUACAAGGGUUAAGUCAAGGGUCUCUUCACAGCUGUGCUUGAACGUUGUCUGUUGUGACAUAUUGCAUGACAUUUUUUCUUUCUUUUUUCUUAUGUCUUGUUGCAGUUUUGAAG